AUACUUACCUGGCAGGGAAGAUACCAUGAUCACGAAGGUGGUUCUCCCAGGGCGAGGCUCAUCCAUUGCACUCCGGCCGUGCUGACCCCUGCGAUUUCCCCAAAUGCGGGAAAGUCGACUGCAUAAUUUCUGGUAGUGGGGGACUGCGUUCGCGCUUUCCCCUG
rnacentral:snRNA from 1 species